CGUGUAGGCGGUUUAUUAAGUCAGAUGUGAAAGCCCACGGCUUAACCGUGGAACGGCAUUUGAUACUGAUAGGCUUGAGUAUGAGAAGGGGUAGUGGAAUUCCCAGUGUAGCGGUGAAAUGCGUAGAUAUUGGGAAGAACACCAGUAGCGAAGGCGACUACCUGGCUCAUUACUGACGCUAAUGCGCGAAAGCGCGGGGAGCAAACA
rnacentral:rRNA from 1 species